UUGAAGAGUUUGAUCAUGGCUCAGAUUGAACGCUGGCGGCAGGCCUAACACAUGCAAGUCGAGCGGUAGCACAGAGAGCUUGCUCUCGGGUGACGAGCGGCGGACGGGUGAGUAAUGUCUGGGAAACUGCCUGAUGGAGGGGGAUAACUACUGGAAACGGUAGCUAAUACCGCAUAACGUCGCAAGACCAAAGUGGGGGACCUUCGGGCCUCAUGCCAUCAGAUGUGCCCAGAUGGGAUUAGCUAGUAGGUGGGGUAACGGCUCACCUAGGCGACGAUCCCUAGCUGGUCUGAGAGGAUGACCAGCCACACUGGAACUGAGACACGGUCCAGACUCCUACGGGAGGCAGCAGUGGGGAAUAUUGCACAAUGGGCGCAAGCCUGAUGCAGCCAUGCCGCGUGUGUGAAGAAGGCCUUCGGGUUGUAAAGCACUUUCAGCGGGGAGGAAGGCGAUAAGGUUAAUAACCUUGUCGAUUGACGUUACCCGCAGAAGAAGCACCGGCUAACUCCGUGCCAGCAGCCGCGGUAAUACGGAGGGUGCAAGCGUUAAUCGGAAUUACUGGGCGUAAAGCGCACGCAGGCGGUCUGUCAAGUCGGAUGUGAAAUCCCCGGGCUCAACCUGGGAACUGCAUUCGAAACUGGCAGGCUAGAGUCUUGUAGAGGGGGGUAGAAUUCCAGGUGUAGCGGUGAAAUGCGUAGAGAUCUGGAGGAAUACCGGUGGCGAAGGCGGCCCCCUGGACAAAGACUGACGCUCAGGUGCGAAAGCGUGGGGAGCAAACAGGAUUAGAUACCCUGGUAGUCCACGCCGUAAACGAUGUCGAUUUGGAGGUUGUGCCCUUGAGGCGUGGCUUCCGGAGCUAACGCGUUAAAUCGACCGCCUGGGGAGUACGGCCGCAAGGUUAAAACUCAAAUGAAUUGACGGGGGCCCGCACAAGCGGUGGAGCAUGUGGUUUAAUUCGAUGCAACGCGAAGAACCUUACCUGGUCUUGACAUCCACAGAACUUUCCAGAGAUGGAUUGGUGCCUUCGGGAACUGUGAGACAGGUGCUGCAUGGCUGUCGUCAGCUCGUGUUGUGAAAUGUUGGGUUAAGUCCCGCAACGAGCGCAACCCUUAUCCUUUGUUGCCAGCGGUCCGGCCGGGAACUCAAAGGAGACUGCCAGUGAUAAACUGGAGGAAGGUGGGGAUGACGUCAAGUCAUCAUGGCCCUUACGACCAGGGCUACACACGUGCUACAAUGGCAUAUACAAAGAGAAGCGACCUCGCGAGAGCAAGCGGACCUCAUAAAGUAUGUCGUAGUCCGGAUUGGAGUCUGCAACUCGACUCCAUGAAGUCGGAAUCGCUAGUAAUCGUAGAUCAGAAUGCUACGGUGAAUACGUUCCCGGGCCUUGUACACACCGCCCGUCACACCAUGGGAGUGGGUUGCAAAAGAAGUAGGUAGCUUAACCUUCGGGAGGGCGCUUACCACUUUGUGAUUCAUGACUGGGGUGAAGUCGUAACAAGGUAACCGUAGGGGAACCUGCGGUUGGAUCACCUCCUU
rnacentral:rRNA from 1 species